rnacentral:rRNA from 1 species
UACGAAGGGGGCGAGCGUUGUUCGGAUUUACUGGGCGUCAAGGGCGCGCAGGCGGCUCAUUUUGUCAGGCGUGAAAGCCCCGGGCUUAACCUGGGAACUGCGUUUGAUACGGAUGGGCUAGAGUUCGGGAGAGGAGAGUGGAAUUCCCAGUGUAGAGGUGAAAUUCGUAGAUAUUGGGAAGAACACCGGUGGCGAAGGCGGCUCUCUGGACCGAGACUGACGCUGAGGCGCGAAAGCGUGGGGAGCAAACAGG